AACGAUCUUAAAUCAUAUACUGUAUAUGAAGCUUUAUUACACGGCAUUUUCUGAAUACUCAAUUCUGAUUGGUCAAUCACGGCGUUCUACAGUCUGUUAUUUCUUUAUAGCAGACCGUUGCUAUGUAUAACAGACUGUUGCUAUGGGCG